ACUACGCUUCUUGUAUUCAAAAGUAACAACAUCCUCCACCCCAAGCUAGAAAGGAGGAGGAAACUGUGUACGAUGAAGUGAAGGGGCAGAGUAAAACAACUGAAGUAACUGCUGACACAAACGGUAAUUGUUGCUCGACAAGAAAGUCAAACAACAAGAUGU